rnacentral:rRNA from 1 species
GAAGGCGGCUUGGUCGAGCUCGUCGGAAAAGAAAACGGGAGAGUCUCAAGGUGGGUCCAGGAGGCAAAGUCGGUCUUGGAUGAGG